GGUUAGCACUCAAGGGAGAAAGAAAGUGUGUGUGUGUGUAUGUGUGUGUGUGCACUUUGUUAAAUCAAAUCUCAUAAAUGAUCCAAAGCAGAAAUUACUCAGUACCAAGAGGGGUACUGGGAGUGCAGAAUAAGUAUAAACUGCUUCCCGAUUUAAGGGCAGUGAGAUGAUGGGGGAACUGUGGAAGUCCAGGGAUCCAUGGAGAUUUUGUAAAGAAGGUGCUACUGCAGCCACACACGAAGGACAGCCAGCAUCUAGACACCAACAUGACCAAUGAAAAAAAUGGAGGAGCAGGGGCAUAGAGGCUGGAAGGCAGAACUGUGAGCAGAGACCACCUGAUGGAGCAUCUCAUACUCAAGGGAAGCAGUAGAUGAUGAAAUGGAAAGAUACAUUGCUGCCUGGUCAUGG
rnacentral:lncRNA from 1 species